GGGGAUAACAGUUGGAAACGACUGCUAAUACCGCAUACGCCCUACGGGGGAAAGCAGGGGACCUUCGGGCCUUGCRCGAUUGGAUGAACCCAKGUGGGAUUAKCUAGUUGGUGAGGUAAUGGCUCACCAAGGCGACGAUCCCUA
rnacentral:rRNA from 1 species